rnacentral:tRNA from 1 species
GCGCCAGUGGUCCAACUGGUAGAGGCAGCCUCUUUGCACGGGGCGGGUUGGGGGUUCGAAUCCCCCCUGGCGUA